rnacentral:lncRNA from 1 species
AAAUGGUGACUUUUGCCAGCAGUCAACAAGUUGGAAAACCUCAUCAGUUAAGACCAGGAAGCCUCUGGUUGUGAGUCCCUCCAACCAGCAAGCCUAGAGCUAAUGGGCAGUAGAUCGAGGUGCUUGAGAAGAAAAAGAGGAGAAAGACUCAUUGGAUACUUGUGUAUUUCUUGAUACCUUCUCGGUCUCUUAGUUGUUUUUCUUCCUCCACUGGAAGCAGGGUGAUCACUGAUUCAGGAUUGCAGAGGACCAAAGAUGAAGAGGAAUGCUGGGAAAUAAUACGUAGAAGGAAAGAAGACUUGAGUCACCACGUCAGACUGAAAUCCAGUGUGACAUCAGUCUCAAAAUGUUUUGUUCUUUUGGGGAUAAUGCACCAAGUUAGCAUCCCCCAUUUUGCAUCAUAACCAAGGUUACUAGGCCAGAAUAGGGCACGGCAUGGGUGUUUCAUCCUGAAGCCAUUUCUUUUUUUUUUUUUUUUGCAAAUCAGUGGACCAGAAACUGAAGCAAAUUUCUGGCGAGGGUCACCGGAUCCCACUUUCAUCUCUUUCAGCUUCAAGAAGCCAAGGGUCAGCUCCAGAAUUAGCCUGAUAUUUGAGAACAAAUUGCAUUGCUGGCCUUAAUGUAUAAUAAUGGCAGUUUUUAAUCAACCUCCUCCGUUUUCAGCUAAUAUAAUCUAAAGUAAUCAAUAAAAUUAGUUGUGAGCCAAGCAAUAGGACAAGACCAAUAGGUAAUUCUGUAGUCAUUUUUAAUAUAAAAUCAAGUAAAU